AGCAGCCGCGGUAAUUCCAGCUCCAAUAGCGUAUAUUAAAGUUGUUGCAGUUAAAAAGCUCGUAGUUGAAUUUCGAGAUCGGCUUACUGGUCGUGCUUUUGUACGUACUGGUAUAAUCGGUUUCUCCUUUCUGACGAACUUUAAUGCCAUUAAUUUGGUGUUUUAGGGAAUCAGGACUGUUACUUUGAAAAAAUUAGAGUGUUUAAAGCAGGCUCACGCUUGAAUACAUUAGCAUGGAAUAACGGAAUAGGACGUUUGAUUCUAUUUUGUUGGUUUCUAGGAUCGACGUAAUGAUUAAUAGGGAUAGUUGGGGGCAUUAGUAUUCAAUUGUCAGAGGUGAAAUUCUUGGAUUUAUUGAAGACUAACUACUGCGAAAGCAUUUGCCAAGGAUGUUUUCAUUAAUCAAGAACGAAAGUUAGGGGAUCGAAGACGAUCAGAUACCGUCGUAGUCUUAACCAUAAACUAUGCCGACUAGGGAUCGGAUGAUGUUAAUUUUUAAUGACUCAUUCGGCGCCUUACG
rnacentral:rRNA from 1 species